GGACUGAGAGGUUGAACGGCCACGUUGGGACUGAGACACGGCCCAGACUCCUACGGGAGGCAGCAGUGGGGAAUAUUGCACAAUGGGGGAAACCCUGAUGCAGCAACGCCGCGUGAAGGAAGACGGUUUUCGGAUUGUAAACUUCUGUUCUUAGUGAAGAAUAAUGACGGUAGCUAAGGAGCAAGCCACGGCUAACUACGUGCCAGCAGCCGCGGUAAUACGUAGGUGGCAAGCGUUGUCCGGAAUUACUGGGUGUAAAGGGAGCGUAGGCGGGAUGCCAAGUCAGCUGUGAAAACUAUGGGCUUAACUUGUAGACUGCAGUUGAAACUGGUAUUCUUGAGUGAAGUAGAGGUUGGCGGAAUUCCGAGUGUAGCGGUGAAAUGCGUAGAUAUUCGGAGGAACACCGGUGGCGAAGGCGGCCAACUGGGCUUUAACUGACGCUGAGGCUCGAAAGUGUGGGGAGCAAACAGGAUUAGAUACCCUGGUAGUCCACACUGUAAACGAUGAUAACUAGGUGUGGGGGGUCUGACCCCUUCCGUGCCGCAGCUAACGCAAUAAGUUAUCCACCUGGGGAGUACGACCGCAAG
rnacentral:rRNA from 1 species